rnacentral:rRNA from 1 species
GAUGAACGCUGGCGGCGUGCCUAAUACAUGCAAGUCGAGCGAACGGACGAGAAGCUUGCUUCUCUGAUGUUAGCGGCGGACGGGUGAGUAACACGUGGAUAACCUACCUAUAAGACUGGGAUAACUUCGGGAAACCGUAGCUAAUACCGGAUAAUAUUUUGAACCGCAUGGUUCAAAAGUGAAAGACGGUCUUGCUGUCACUUAUAGAUGGAUCCGCGCUGCAUUAGCUAGUUGGUAAGGUAACGGCUUACCAAGGCAACGAUGCAUAGCCGACCUGAGAGGGUGAUCGGCCACACUGGAACUGAGACACGGUCCAGACUCCUACGGGAGGCAGCAGUAGGGAAUAUUGCGCAAUGGGCGAAAGCCUGACGGAGCAACGCCGCGUGAGUGAUGAAGGUCUUCGGAUCGUAAAACUCUGUUAUUAGGGAAGAACAUAUGUGUAAGUAACUGUGCACAUCUUGACGGUACCUAAUCAGAAAGCCACGGCUAACUACGUG